rnacentral:lncRNA from 1 species
AGCUAGAGGGCUGGAACCAGAUUCAACCUGGCCCAGGACCCAAUGUCGGUGUCCCGCUGGGUCGGCUGGCAGGGCUGCAGCUCUGGAAGCACCAGCUUAGGCCCACAGUACGUGAGGUUGAGGUCGCAAAGCGGCGGGACAGCCUCUGGAUUGGACAGCACUGCACCUGGGAUGAGAACCCCCGUCCCUCCAAGUGAUGGCGGCAGGUGAGGGCGGCAUAGGAGCAGAGGAGAAGGGGCGGCUCGGACAUGCGCAGCAACUCGCCCUGGGCGCCUGGGCGCGAGCCCACGUCGUCGUUUUGAGCCCAUAGUCGAAGAUCACGUGCACGUCAAACCUCACGAACUUGGCCAGCACUUCAUCAGCAAGGUUCAUUGAUUGGUGGCAGCAGGGGCAGGCGGGAGGGGCACCACAGAUAACGUUUUCAGCCCGCUCAGCCCCAGAAAGACACGUGAUGACUUGCAGCCCUCGCUCCCCCCGCCCCCGCGCUCACUGGCCACUAUCCGGGAAAGGAACGUGCUUUGCCCAGCCUUCUGGUCGGGAGGAGCUGGGCAGAGGCAAAUGGGGUACACAGCCGUUUUUCAGAAGUUGUCCUUGAUUCUCAGCAGGUUCCUCUCGAAGGGUACUCACACCAUCGGACUCUGUGCCCAAGAAUGGGCGCCCAGGUGGCAGUGGGAGCUACGUUCUUCUGCCCCAUGCCCCACCCCUCUUCCCCUGACCCUAAAGCUUCAAAGAUUCAAUGUUGCUGUCUUCUGCUCUCCCCAGCUAGAGAUCAACUCUGCCUGUCAGACUCAUUCAGAAGACCUGAACCUGAACUUUGAGGAGUGCUAACCCACUUGAUUCAUUUCAGAGAGGAGGGGAAUUGGCGACCAGGGUUAUUUGCCAUUGAGCAAAUAAUUUGAAAAAAGGAAUAAACAGGAUUAGAAAUUGAGCA